CAAGGCUCCUCUUAUUCAUUUUAUUGAGAUGUUCCCUGUGGUGGGUAACAGAUGUUGGAGAAUGACAUAGGUCACCUGGAAAACUCCCAAGAUUAGAUUCUUCUGUUGCACCAUUGCUAUAUCCUAGGGGAUCUCAUUCCUUUCCAGUCUGAUCCACUCCAUAUUUUACAUCACAACAGCAAAGUAACACACGUGGGAAAGGGAAUAAACUUAUAUUCUUAGAUGUACAAAACAUUAUUGUGAAAUGUAAUAUAAUGCCGUCUUUGUUUCCUCCACAGAAAAACUGGAUCUGAAAGUCCGGCUCAGUGAGUUAUCUGACAAAGUGACGGAAAUAGAAGACCCCAAUGAUCUGGCAGACGCAAUAAAUAGCAGCCUAAUAGAACUAUCAGCUCAACUUCUCAAUCUGUGGGGAAAAUUUCUUCAAUCCUCCUUCGAGAGUGAACAAGAGAAGAAGCAAAUAAAGGAAGAAAAGUUCAAGAAAUUAUUCUUUUCUACUGACCAUCCCCAACAAGAAGCUAUUUUAUAUGAUGAGAAGAUAACCGAAAGCCACAAAGAGAUUUAUGAAAAAGUCAAAAAAGCUCCAAAAGAUGAUUGUCUCGAGUGCCGGGACACGGACAUGGUAUCAAAAUCUGCCCCCGUUGUCUUUGAAGACCGGUACUUAGAGCCUGAAGCAAUAGGUACGUAUGGAAAGAAUCCACAGGUGCUGCUGCCUCAGUGUGUGACAGUUGUUCAUCCAGAACUCCUUCCAUUCAUUAUUAUCUAUUAAAUACGUAUUUCUAAAG